AGGAAUAUAUAAAGAAAGUCCAAAAAAUUUUAAGACGCCACAGGGUUAAUAUAGAGAUUUCGUCCACCGAAUUUUUGGAAACCCUGAAUUUAUGUUGCGGCGUUUCAUCUUUCAUCGGCGGCAUCGGCGUAUAUCUUCCUCUCAGAACCCUACAACUGCAAAACUGAAACAAGUGAGAAAUCAAUCGCCACUCCAUUUGAUCUAAUCCAACCGAAGAAUACGGACAGUGGGGAGCAGACACCAGCUUUGGAUUCAAAUCAAUAAGCAUAAUCUGAACUUAGUCGUGUUUUGUUUCUCCUUUAUCAUCUUCUAUUAAUGGUCAUUUGUUUCGCCGAUCAUGGAGCGGUGAGGGUUUAAUCGGAGCACCAAAGUCCGUCGGGUCAAGGAUUUCUACCAUGAUAUGACGAAAGGUCAGUGAUGAUGUUGUUUGGGGCGAUGGCAGUGGUAGGUAGUGGAAAAAUCGAAGCCUCAACAGUGGCGGCUUUAGGGUUCCUUCAUGAGUCAGUCGGGUAUUGUCUCUUCUCUCUUGAAUUUUCAUUCGUAGCCUUCAUCCAGUUUCUGUCCGUCGAUCAGGUACCCCUACAAAAUCAUCUCGAAGCAUUUUUAUUCUAUGUGUGUUUGUGAUUUUGAGUUUAACCUAGAUUUUACAGAGAUGGGGAAGAAAGCUUCUGAUUUUGAGGGCUUUGGGUGUAUUUGCAUUUGUUGAUUUUGCGUGCAGUGGUCAAUUAGACUUACAUUGACAUUCAGGCUGGUCGAUUUCCACCCAAAUUGCCAUCUUGUGUAUUAGCAGAAAGCCACUGUUUGUAAACUCGAUUAUCUUUCUCGUAUCUGUGUUCUCUCGUUAUUUUGAUCUCUUUAUUUGAUCUUCUAUUGUUUUGGACUGCCAAAUUAUUUUGUAGAUUAUGAACCAUUGCUUAUAUUUCAGGUACAGGGGACCAUAGUUUUGUGCAAAGGUUGCGUCUUGGUGGGCACUUUUGAAGGAAAAUAUAGCAACCAUGGAGCCGAGGACAUUUCGACUAUUAAGACAUUACUAGAGCAUAAUGCUGAUUGUAGUCCCGAAGAUAAGGUUUUUAAUCAUUCUUUUUAAAAUUUGUUGUCAUGUUAAUAAAGGCUGGCAUGAUUAUAAUUUCUGUUGCUUUUGAAAGAAGACAUGCCCCCAUGGGAAAUCAAAGGUUACUGUCUUUCUUAAACGAUGUUUUUGUUCAAGUCGUUGUUGAUUCUUUUUGUUUUUUUUUUUACAAAUGUAAAUAGUGAAAUUUGAUUGUAGCUGCGUUGUUUUUGAGAUAAUUUUGUUCGGUUCGAAACGGCUCGCGUCGAAACGUUUCUCGUCUGGAAGAUUUGGCGAUUCAAGGUGGAAGUUGAGGGACUUUUUUUUCCAAAUGUGAUGGCGUUCCCUUGAUUACUGAAAAGGAACUGGUGGAAACCUUUAUGAAUCAGUGAUACACUUUGUGUAAACUUAGUGCAUUAAAUAUCAAACCAUACACAGAAAAAGAAACAUAGCUUGAACUAAUAGAUAUGCAACCAUGGCUUCAUGUAUCUCAUAGCUAUAGGCGUAAUUAAUCUCUGACACGACUAUAGAGGUUUAAAUGCAACUGCAGCUGAUAUUAAACAAGGGUUUAAAAGAGCCUUUUCUGCUCCAUGGCCCGAAAAACUACGUUACCAGGGAGAUGGAAGACCAUUCUGGAGGCUUGUUGUUUCUGAAGCUACUGGUAGUGCUAAUAACGAUUACUUUGAAGAAGUUUAUGAGGUUGAAAAGUGAUAAUCAUGUUAGGUAAGUCUGAUGCGUACCAAGUAUAUGAUGGAAUGCCUAUGGUGCUGGUUCCGCCUCUUGCUGCUCGAACCAGGUUUCGGUUUUGACUUAUCAUAAGGAUGUGAUGCUGGGAAGCACCAACAAGCUUUCAACCUCACCGGAGGAUUCGCUCCGUCGAAGUGCUUUGAUGACAAUAGUCCUAUAAUGGCAUGGGUAUUCCACGACCCAAACUAAAUGAUGUUGCAAAGGGACCUGGAGACAAAAGAAGCCUGGUAAACGCAUGUCAAAAUGAUAUGUGCCAUGUUCUAAAAGCCAUGCACAUCACGUUCCCAUUUGCCAAUGGCUGUUAUUUUUCUUUUGCAUGAUUAGAUAGUGCCAUAGUCGGUUAGUGGUGAUGGUUUAUCUUAGUUGCAAGUUAGCCAUUUUUAUUAAUUUCGUAUUUCUUCAGUAAGGCUAUAUAUGAACCAUAUGUAUUUAGAUCAAGGGAAUGAAGAAAUGAAUUAUUCAAAAUCUGGUUUCUCUUAA